rnacentral:rRNA from 1 species
GUCCACGCCCUAACGAUGCGAACUGGACGUUGGGCACAAUUUGGUGCUCAGUGUCGAAGCUAACGCGUUAAGUUCGCCGCCUGGGGAGUACGCUCGCAAGAGUGAACUCAAAGGAAUUGACGGGGCCCGCACAAGCGGUGGAGUAUGUGGUUUAAUUCGAUGCAACGCGCAGAACCUUACCUGGUCUUGACAUGUCGCGAAUCCUGCAGAGAUGCGGGAGUGCCUUCGGGAGCGCGAACACAGGUGCUGCAUGGCUGUCGU